rnacentral:rRNA from 1 species
CAGCCGCCGCGGUAAAACGAGGGGGGCAAGCGUUGUUCGGAAUUAUUGGGCGUAAAGGGUGCGUAGGCGGUUUCGUAAGUCUGAUGUGAAAUCUAUGGGCUCAACCCAUAGUCUGCAUCGGAAACUGCGAGGCUUGAGAGUGGGAGAGGUGAGUGGAAUUUCCGGUGUAGCGGUGAAAUGCGUAGAUAUCGGAAGGAACACCUGUGGCGAAAGCGGCUCACUGGACCAUUACUGACGCUGAGGCGCGAAAGCUAGGGGAGCAAACAGGAUUAGAUACCCCAGUAGUCCCUGUCUCUUAUAC